AGAGCAUGGCUGCUGGGCAGCCAGGUCAACCGGACGGCAAGGCAGGGGUUGGCCGGGGAAGCACUGCGCCGCCCCUGCAUGCCCUGCAUCCUCGGGUCCUGGGAGGGCUGCUCAGUAACUGGAAGGAAAAUGAAACUGAAAAAGAGCAAGGGUCCCGUAGGAUUGAACACAGUUGGUGAAACUUGGGCCGUCUGCCUCAAGUCCCCGCUUGGCAAAACCACUCCCUCCUGGUGGACGCCCUCACCAUGAAGACGGCCUGCCUACCAGCUAUGAAAAAGAACAGAAAACCACCAGGCAAACACUCCAGUUAUGGCCAACAAGUACUAACAGCUGACGAGGUGAAAUCCUGUCUGAAGUCACAGAUUUUGCUGAAGUCCCUUGGACUGUCAUCUCAAUUUCCUUCCCGAGAGACAGCCAAGACCAUGAACCUGGCGAGGUCCCUCCAACCCACGGUGAAAUAGCUUCUCGUUUACACGUGUCCAAGGACACAGGUCUCCUUUUAUAGAUGUCUAAUUUACAUGAAUGUUACGCUUCUGGCUUCCUCCUCACCUAGGUUUUCUAAAAUGCUGUAGAGGACUCAGUCACAGCGCUCUCUUGUAUUUCAUUUACCCAUUCCCUUGCUGUGGUUACUCGGUUGUUUCCAAACUAUUUCCAACAAUGCAGCAAUGAACAUCCUGUACCUGACUCCCUGUCCACUCCAGAAGUUUCUCCAGGGCUAGGCUCUCAAGCCGUUUUUGACGCAGUUACCAUUAUAAUGCUAUACAUACGCACAUAUGUAAGAAACACACAUGGAAGAAAAGUUUCACAAAACAUGACUUAACCUAACAUGCAGUGUUCUCUGAUUUCUUUAGAUUUUAUGCCAUUUAACUCUUUUUAAGCCUCUCAUAACCCACCAGAUUAACUGUUUUUAUUUAUAUAAAUUUAAGGGGUGGGGGUCACACCUGUAGUCCCAGCACUUUGGGAGACUGAAGUGGGAGGAUCACUUGAGCCCAGGAGUUCGAGACCAGCCUGGGCAACAUGGCGAAACCCUGUCUCUACCAAAAAUACAAAAAUUAGCUAGGCAUAGUGGUGCACACCUGUAGUCUCAGCUACUCGGGAGGCUGAGGUUGCAGUGAGUUGAGAUCGUGCCACUGCACUCCAGCCUGGGCAACAAAGCAAGACCCUGUAUCUAAACAAAUAAACAAAAAGAAUCUAAGAUUCUGUGAGACCAAGAAGCUGUCUUUGGCCAGACAUAGUGGCUCAAGCCUGUAAUCUCAGCAAUUUGGGAGGCCAAGGCAAACGGAUCACUUGAGGUCAGGAGUUUGAGACCAGCCCAGUCAAUAUGGGUGAAACCCCAUCUCUACUAAAAAUACAAAAAUUAGCCAGGCAUGGUAGCACACGCCUGUAAUCCCAGCUACUCUGAGGCUG
rnacentral:lncRNA from 1 species